rnacentral:rRNA from 1 species
GAAACAUCUUAGUACCCGGAGGAAGAGAAAGAAAAUUCGAUUCCCUUAGUAGCGGCGAGCGAAACGGGAAGAGCCCAAACCAACAAGCUUGCUUGUUGGGGUUGUAGGACACUCUAUACGGAGUUACAAAGGACGACAUUAGACGAAUCAUCUGGAAAGAUGAAUCAAAGAAGGUAAUAAUCCUGUAGUCGAAAAUGUUGUCUCUCUUGAGUGGAUCCUGAGUACGACGGAGCACGUGGAAUUCCGUCGGAAUCUGGGAGGACCAUCUCCUAAGGCUAAAUACUCUCUAGUGACCGAUAGUGAACCAGUACCGUGAGGGAAAGGUGAAAAGCACCCCGGAAGGGGAGUGAAAUAGAACCUGAAACCGUGUGCUUACAAGUAGUCAGAGCCCGUUAAUGGGUGAUGGCGUGCCUUUUGUAGAAUGAACCGGCGAGUUACGAUUUGAUGCAAGGUUAAGCAGUAAAUGUGGAGCCGUAG